GUAAGGAUACAACAAGGAGAGGCCACCUGCAAGCCAGGAAGACAGUCCUUCAGUAGCCUUCAGAUCCGCCAACAUCUUGAUCCUGGGCGUCCGGCCGCCAGACCUGUGAGAAAGUGAGGCCCGUUGUUUAAGUCCCUGGUCUUUGAUCUGUUACUGCAGCACGAGCUGACCACGCACUCAUUGUGAGGCAAUGACCUUUUUCUCAACCAUGUGCAAGUGGUAUUUCUGCGUGCUUCAAAUAUCACAGGCGGGAUUGUCAGGAAGCCAAGGAGGGGCCUUUCGAAAGAGAAUAAUGCUGAGCCAUCCGAGACCCUGGAUGACAGAAGCCCUGAGGCAGACAGAAAUUUGGACAACUCAGGACGGGGAACUUGGAAGGCAGCGCCUACAUGUCUGAGUGGUCCCUGCCUGUGUUGACUCAAUUCUUCCUCCAAGGCAAGAGCCGCUAGGAACAGAGUCAGGACAUCCUACCGCCCAAGGCUCUUGAGCUCGGCCAAGGACUGUACAGGAAGGAUGACUGGGGAGGCCUCAGGAAACUUACAAUCACAGGAACCUUACAAUCACGAUGGAAGGCAAAGUGGAAGCAGGUGUGACUUCAUGGCAGGAGCAGGAGGAAGGUGGGGGGAGGCGCUACAUACUUUUAAACAACGGAAUCUUGUGAGAACUCACUCACUAUCAGCAAGGGGGAAAUCUGCCACCUGAUCCAGUCACCUCCCACCAGGAUCCUCCUCCAACAGUGGGGAUUACAAUUUGACAUGAGAUUUGAAUGGGGACACAAAUCCAAACCAUAUCAGGGUCAUUAAAAAAAAAGUUGCCCUGCUAAAGCAAAUCUAAAUAACAAUGUGAACAU